GACGAACGCUGGCGGCGUGCUUAACACAUGCAAGUCGAACGGUGAAGCGCUUGCCUUUUUGGUGGGUGUGGAUGAGUGGCGAACGGGUGAGUAACACGUGAGUAACCUGCCCUCUUCUUCUGGAUAACCUCAUGAAAGUGGGGCUAAUACGGGGUAUUCCGGGUCUGUCGCAUGGCGGGUUUGGGAAAGAUUGCGCCUUUGGGUGUUUUCGGUGGGGGAUGGGCUCGCGGCCUAUCAGCUUGUUGGUGGGGUGAUGGCCUACCAAGGCGGUGACGGGUAGCCGGCCUGAGAGGGUGGACGGCCACACUGGGACUGAGACACGGCCCAGACUCCUCGGGAGGCAGCAGUGGGGAAUAUUGCACAAUGGGCGCAAGCCUGAUGCAGCGACGCCGCGUGAGGGAUGGAGGCCUUCGGGUUGUGAACCUCUUUCGCCAGUGAAGCAGGCCUGCCUCGUUUGUGGGUGGG
rnacentral:rRNA from 1 species